GCCUUCGUGGUGUAGUGGUCAGCACGCUGGGCUGGUAAUCCAGAGGUCCGCGGUUCGAUUCCCGGCGAAGGCG
rnacentral:tRNA from 1 species